rnacentral:tRNA from 2 species
GAGUGAGUGGCGGAAAUGGCAGACGCACUUAAACAGGAGGGCUGAUAGUGGUCGGGGCAACACAGUUGCCGGAGGACGCUCCUCGGAAAGCAUCCAUGCGGGUUCGAAUCCCGCCUCACUCC